CGAGACAGAUCCUUGUGCUUUACCCAAUCUACAGCAAUACUACACUCAUUCAAAGAGUUGAGACCGGAUGAUGAAUUGCUCCGUCUCCGACGGGAUUCUAGAAUCUUUGAUCAUAAUCGGGAUGAGCCAUUUAUCCAUGUUAAAAGUCCUGGUGAUAUGGGGAAAGAGAAAACGAGGCCUCCAAAGCGACUAAAGAAGUCUUGCUAAGCAUAUGGUAAUGAUGAUGUGAUGACAUUGGGGUUUCAUGACUUUGCAGCACCCCAAAUAAGAAACGUCUCUAUAGAUGCCAAAACAACAACGAUCAAACAAGAUUUCUUGUUUCCACAAUGUUCUGUAUUUUUUGUAACAUAAGUAAGUCUUAAUUCAUUAUCCGAGACACAAUUACAUUUAUGGUGUUAACACCCUGUAUC